rnacentral:miRNA from 12 species
ACUCUAGAAGAUGAAGGCCAUG